AGAGUUUGAUCCUGGCUCAGAACGAACGCUGGCGGCAGGCUUAACACAUGCAAGUCGAACGCACCUUCGGGUGAGUGGCAGACGGGUGAGUAACGCGUGGGAACGUGCCCUUCAGUUCGGAAUAACCCAGGGAAACUUGGGCUAAUACCGGAUACGUGCGAGAGCAGAAAGAUUCAUCGCUGAAGGAUCGGCCCGCGUCUGAUUAGCUAGCUGGUAGGGUAAUGGCCUACCAAGGCGACGAUCAGUAGCUGGUCUGAGAGGGUGAUCAGCCACAUUGGGACUGAGACACGGCCCAAACUCCUACGGGAGGCAGCAGUGGGGAAUAUUGGACAAUGGGCGCAAGCCUGAUCCAGCCAUGCCGCGUGAGUGAUGAAGGCCUUAGGGUUGUAAAGCUCUUUCGUCCGGGACGAUAAUGACGGUACCGGAAGAAGAAGCCCCGGCUAACUUCGUGCCAGCAGCCGCGGUAAUACGAAGGGGGCUAGCGUUGUUCGGAAUCACUGGGCGUAAAGGGCGCGUAGGCGGCCUGAUAAGUCGGGGGUGAAAGCCUGUGGCUCAACCACAGAAUUGCCUUCGAUACUGUCGGGCUUGAGACCGGAAGAGGUAAGUGGAACUGCGAGUGUAGAGGUGAAAUUCGUAGAUAUUCGCAAGAACACCAGUGGCGAAGGCGGCUUACUGGUCCGGUUCUGACGCUGAGGCGCGAAAGCGUGGGGAGCAAACAGGAUUAGAUACCCCGGUAGUCC
rnacentral:rRNA from 2 species